rnacentral:rRNA from 1 species
GACGAACGCUGGCGGCGUGCCUAAUACAUGCAAGUCGAACGCUGAAGAGAGGAGCUUGCUCUUCUUGGAUGAGUUGCGAACGGGUGAGUAACGCGUAGGUAACCUGCCUUGUAGCGGGGGAUAACUAUUGGAAACGAUAGCUAAUACCGCAUAACAAUGGAUGACACAUGUCAUUUAUUUGAAAGGGGCAAUUGCUCCACUACAAGAUGGACCUGCGUUGUAUUAGCUAGUAGGUGAGGUAAUGGCUCACCUAGGCGACGAUACAUAGCCGACCUGAGAGGGUGAUCGGCCACACUGGGACUGAGACACGGCCCAGACUCCUACGGGAGGCAGCAGUAGGGAAUCUUCGGCAAUGAGGGCAACCCUGACCGAGCAACGCCGCGUGAGUGAAGAAGGUUUUCGGAUCGUAAAGCUCUGUUGUAAGUCAAGAACGGGUGUGAGAGUGGAAAGUUCACACUGUGACGGUAGCUUACCAGAAAGGGACGGCUAACUACGUG